CGGGGGAUCCUUUAAUAAUAAGAGUAGAGAAGCCUGCGGGCGCGGGGGGAGUUGGCCUGAUGCCCCUAUGGGCUCGGCCUGCCGCCGCCGCGGGGCCUCCAACACUACGCGCCAGGCCGGGUUCCGGAAAGCGGGCGGCGCUGGCGGGGAGCACGGCAGAGAGCGGCCCUGACUGCGGGGUCGCGGCCGUGGGAAGUUGGUGCGGGAUGCAGCACGGCGCGCGCGAGACCCGGCUGGACUCUGCGCGCCCGAAAUCAGGACCAAGCUUGGCAUAGUGACAGAGUCCCAGCCUUCAUCACUGGCCUUUGUGCCCUUCCAGUAGAGCUGAACCCUGCAUGUGGGAUGCUAAUGGGGCUGUCACACGUGUGCAGAGAAUGAAGACAGCCACAGUAACAUGCUCAGCAUCAAGGACAUAUUAUGCAUCCACAGCCUUCAAGCACUAGGAGGACCCCACUCAGGACCCAUCAUUUCUUCAUGGGAUGGUGCAACUGACUGCCUGCUGGCAUCUUGCCUCCACCAGUGGCACACUGUCCACUCUGGUCCCAGGCUUCUCUGGAUGACUGAGGCUGUGUUCCCAUCCUUGUCAGCGCCCCGGGGCUCUCUCCAGUAAGUCCAGCUUACCGCAGCAGCAAGUUACCAGGGAACCUCUGCCAGGAACAGAAACUUCGAGGCUCAAAAAACUGGGUGACCUCAAGAAAUGAAGAGACAGCUGAACAGAGGACAUUCAUGAGCCUAAGUUCCAGCUGGGGUGGCUGACGGGAGGCUACUGACGUUUCCCCUGUGUCGGCACCCCAAUAAUGUAGCUCUCCAACUCCAAGUGGGAGGCUGGGAAUGUGGAUUGUUUGAUAGAGUUCCUGUCGGGCAUGCAAGGAGCCCUGGGUUCCAGUCUCAAGAUGGCAUAAACGGUGUGAUGGAGCAUGCCAGUAAUCCCAACACUGGGGAGGUAGAGGCUGGAGCAUAAAUUCAAGGUUAUCCUGGGCUACAUAGUGAACUUGGGGUCAGCCUGGGCUAUAUGAGACCUUUUCCUUAAUAAAAUGAAAUCCCAGUCAUGUGGAAAACCUGCUCCAAGCCUCUGCAUCUUACCUUCAUUGGUCCUCAGGAGCAGAGAGUGGGAUACCAUGCUAGUCACCUUUGCCUGCCUUUCCUUUAAGGGGGGGU